GAUGAGAGGAAUUAAAUAAAGAGAAGUCAAGGGGAAGGGGUUGCGAGAGAAUUGGAAAAUUUCUCCCCUUCUUAGAAUCAAAAAACUCUCGGCCUUCAUUACUCUCUUAAAACCUUCCAAGUUUUUCUAUUAUUUUCACAUUACAAGGAAAUCCUUGCGCCCAUCUUUAACCCCCGCAAAGCUCCUCAUCAUUUGCAUUUGCCAAGCAAUCUAAGAGUCUUUCAUGGUGAUUUUCAAAAGGAUAUCUCAUGAGCGAUUAAGUUUAAAGGUGAGAAACAAUGGAAAGACCCUUGGCUCUAGGAAACCCGAGGCUACCAACUCAUUUUUGAAGGGAUUAAGGCUUCCCAAAUUGAAGUUUAAGGCUGGAAAUCAAAUGUUUGGGUAAGGAACUCUUCAUUUAAGCUUUUUAAAAAAUUAAAAAUUAUUUUAAGUUUAAAGAAUUAAUACCAUGUGAAUUUGUUGUGACAAAUUUGGUACUACGAGAUUGGAAAAGUAUUGAGGUUGUGCAUUGGUGAAGUUAGACCACCAACAGGGUAAGGUCCAAUGAGGUUGGAUGUUGGUCCUUAUCUUAUCGAAGUAUGGUUUACUAGUGAAGCACGUGCCUACGAGGGUGAACUUGUGAUAUUGACUUAGUAUGAUUUAUUACAAGGAGAUUUGAAGGAGGACUUGCGGGAAAUUUGUCAAACCUGCGGCCUAACGUUAAGAAAUUUAUGGUUGAGUUUGCAAAGGAAAAAAGUAAAGAAGAUUCAGGUGGUGGUGAUAUACAGCCGUUGGAAAUUUCCUAGGCAACACAUUUCAUUAGCGUAAAUAGAAAUAUUGGUGAGAAUUCCACCAAAGGAGGUGAGUGGGCAAUUCCUUUUAAAAUAUACUAUGGAUUUUGCUACAAUAAGCGCAUAACUACAAAUAUGCUCACUGUUUGGCAUUGACAUUAGAAUGCUACGAAUUAUAUUUUAUCUAUUGAAUUGCCAUUCGGAAGCAUGAGUUGCUAGAUGAUUAGGACUAUUUUUUUUACCUUAUUGUGUUCAUUAAUUCGCAAGCAUUACUAUACUAUGAGCUGUUUAUAACUAUGGGAAACAAGCCCUUGAAAAUAUUAAAUUUCCAUUCUGUUUUGAAGGUCUUAAAAACUAUUUGAAUCUAUGCAAUACUUGCAUUCAAUAGGCCAUAACGGUGGCCGCUUAUAAUUAAAUUGCCCAUUUGGUAAAAUUAUGAUGUUUGGAUGAAAUAUAAAAUCAUGCCACGCUCAUUGAUUUUGUUAUUGUACUUGGUAUGUACUGCUCAUUGAUUCCAUAAAUUGAAUAAUGUAACACAUUGUUUAUAUGAGCAUUCGAUACCAAAUUAUUUAUGGGUAAGCCUUACGGGUAUAGGUUUUGUUGCCAUACCAAAUUGUGUGGUCUUUAUGCACAAAGUACUAGCUAGACAUCGAUUUGUUAUUGGACUAGUAAGGGGGAUGGAAGACACAACUUUAUGCUUGGUGGCGUGGGGAGUCCCACGAGUAGGUACUAGGAGGACAAAAGCCUCAACUUUAUAUCUGGUGGCAUGGUGAGUCCUACGAGUAGGCACUGGGAGGACAGAAGCCUCGACUUUAUACUUGGUGGCAUGGGGAGUCCCAUGAGAUGGCACUAGGAGGAAAGAAGCCUCGACUUUAUACUUGGUGGCGUGGGAGUCCCACGAGUAAGUAUUAAGGGGACGAAAGCCCCAAUUUUAUACUUGGUGGCACGAGGGAAUCCUACCAAUAGGCAUUAAGGGGACAGAAGCCUCGACUUUAUAUUUGGUAGCAUGGGGAGUCCCAUGAGUAGGCAUUGAUAUAUGGUAUAUGCGUGGAGACUCACACGAUUUCUUAGACACGAUUUCUUAGACCUACCCAAGGGUACCCUAAUCAAUUUGUUUUCUUUUAUUAUUUAUUUCUUAUUAAGUAUGACAUUAUUACUAUAUGUGCCUUGAUUAAAACCAUGGCAUCGAUCUAUUAAUUUUGAGAAUUUUGGAUUCAAAUGUUUA